GGAAGGCGGGGCUAGGUUCUGGAGUAGAAGACUGUGACGUGCAGACUGUGAUGUCUCACCUGGAUACAGACAGGACCACAGGCUAAGGAACUGGGAGCUGUUCUGUGGACAGGAAGAAGGUUACUCAGGACCACCCCUUCCCCUGUUGCGGGGAGUCAGCCGACGACGUGCACACUGCGCAGACGCCUCGCUGCAGUGGGCGUGAUCCGUGGAGGUCCCGCCCCUUCUUUCCUCCCGCCCCUACUCAGCUGCUCAGGCAGAAGCUGGGGCCCCACCGAAGUAGCAGCCAACGUCGGAUCCCUGACACACCCACCUUGCCGCCUCCGUUCUGCAGAGGCCCCCAGCUGCCAGGCAAUAUGAAGCCUAAACUGAUGUACCAGGAGCUGAAGGUUCCUGUUGAGGAACCUGCGGGAGAACUGCCCAUGAAUGAAAUCGAGGCAUGGAAGGCAGCAGAGAAGAAAGCCCGUUGGGUCCUCCUUGUCCUUAUCCUGGCGGUAGUGGGCUUCGGUGCCCUGAUGACUCAGCUGUUUCUAUGGGAAUACGGGGACUUACAUCUAUUUGGCCCGAAUCAGCACCCAGCCCCCUGCUAUGACCCCUGCGAGGCGGUGCUGGUGGAGAGCAUUCCCGAGGGGCUGGAGUUUCCCAAUGCCACCACAAGCAACCCCUCCACCAGCCAGGCCUGGUUGGGCCUCCUUGCCGGUGCUCACAGCAGCCUGGACAUCGCGUCCUUCUACUGGACUCUCACAAACAAUGAUACCCACACGCAAGAGCCCUCUGCCCAGCAG
rnacentral:lncRNA from 1 species